GUUCAUGGAGGACGUAGCAACGAGGAAUGGAAUUGGAACUGCGAAACAGAGGAGUAAGGGAGGGUAUGGUCCAUCCAUCACGGCAUCACUACAAAAAAUAUGACUUCUAGCGUCAGUUUUUAAGGUGACAGUAGUUUGACUGCCUCUAGAAACAUAUUGUUUUUAGCGGCAGUCGAUUAAAAGUGCCACUAAAGACCCACCGACUGCCGCUAGAAAAGAGAAAAAGGCGCGGGGUGACCUUUUCCUCCCCCACGCAUUUCUUUCCCGCCCUCUCUGUUUCUCUCCUCUCCCAGUAGUCUCUCUCUCUCUCUCUCUCUCUCUCUCUCCCGAGAUCUCUAUCUCAGUCAUUAUAUCGCUCUCGUUCGCUCUCUAUCUCAAUCUCUCUGUGUCCUCUCUCUCUCUCUCGUGCUCUCUCUUUCUCAUGCUCUCUCUCUCGAGUUCUCUAUCUCAGUCGAUUCCCGCUCUCUAUCUCAAUCUAUCUCACACACAGUCGCACAUCUCAAUCUCUCGCUCUCUAUCUCAGUCACACAUCGGCGGCAUCUGAUUCAGGUAUGGGAUGCAACAGCUGCAGAUCCAAAGUUGCUUGUGUAUUUGAAAUCAUACUGGAAUACUGUUCCUGUGCCAAGGCAUUGGUGCCAAAAGAGGAAAUUCUUACAGGGGAGCGGCUGUAACAAUCAUGGAGCCAGGACUUGGUGGUCUUUGCUGAGGGGGACCCCUGAAUGGUUUCUCUUUUAAAAUAUUUUCUAGGGGAAAGCGUGGUAUUGAAAAGCAGCCUUUCCAACUUCCUGAUUUCAUUACUGCAACAAGAAUUGAAAAAAAUAAGACAAGCUUAUAUUGAAAAAGAGGACAGUAAGAAGUUAAAGCAGAAGCAACGUGAACGUAUGCAACCAAAGAUGGGAAAGAUGGACAUUGACUAUCAGGCAUGAUCGGGUUCCAAUCAGACUGAGAAUCUGGAAAAGUGUGGUUCCAAUCAUCAAGGUCAUGCUCGGGUGCAGCAGCAAGUUGAUUUGAGUGUCAGACAGGGUUUCCAAAACCAGCUAUGCUAGCGGACUGCACAACCAAUCUUCAUUCUGAUGCUGAAGUUUCGAACAAUAUGAUUGUGGAUAAUAAGUUCAUUGCUUUGCAAAGUUUGCCAUUCUGGUGCUGCUAGUGAUCAGGCACCUCUAAUUGAGGAGCCUGUGCAUGGAGAGGAUAACGUUAAGCCUGGCAUGGAGAGGAUAAUCUCACCAGAGCUGUGGGAAGCAGGGCCAAAGGAGAAUCUAUUAGGCAUGUUAAGCCUGACAUCAAAUUGCACAGUAGAGGCACUUUCUGUGAGACUGACUUGGCGAAGUUGUAAAGCUACAGAAAUUUAUCAAUUACGUUGCCAAUCUAUGAAAUCAUUUCAAGUCUGAUUAGGUGUCAUUAUUUGUAACUGAAAUUACCUUGUAAAUUCUUUUACAAACGAAGAAUUUGUCAAAUUGAAAUUAAAAUGUAUUUGUGAUUCAAAUAUUUUGA